rnacentral:rRNA from 1 species
ACAGCAGCAGCCGCGGUAAUACAGAGGGUGCGAGCGUUAAUCGGAUUUACUGGGCGUAAAGCGUGCGUAGGCGGCUUCUUAAGUCGGAUGUGAAAUCCCUGAGCUUAAAUUAGGAAUUGCAUUCGAUACUGGGAAGCUAGAGUAUGGGAGAGGAUGGUAGAAUUCCAGGUGUAGCGGUGAAAUGCGUAGAGAUCUGGAGGAAUACCGAUGGCGAAGGCAGCCAUCUGGCCUAAUACUGACGCUGAGGUACGAAAGCAUGGGGAGCAAACAGGAUUAGAUACCCCUGUAGUCCCUGUCUCUUAUAC